GAGAGAGAAACAUCUGAACUCUGAAACUUCCAAGUGGGAGGAGAAGUUCCUUAUUUUUGUUCUUGACACCUGUGCUGAAGUCUCCAGGUUUCAGCUUGUCAAGAGUUGUGGACUCAUGAAUCUGGAAUCAGUUCCAAUAGUUCCUUCAACUCUGAAAAACUUUGAUGGCCUUUUGAAUAUAGUGACCAACUAUCCAUUUUCUCAAUAUGACAUUUAGGACUCAUCCCUCAUGCUUUUCUUCAUGAAUAUGAAUCAGAUGUUUGAAUGCUGCCAAGUUGGUUUUUCACCAGCAGCCCUGGCCUCCAUCAAAUGCUGCUUUAAUGACAAGGUCCUGGAGGAUCAUUUUUGACACUUAUACUGAUAUUGAGAAUAAUCCUCAGGAAGAUCUGCAUAUUGAGAAUAAUCCUCAGGAAGAUCUGCAUAUUGAGAAUAAUCCUCAGGAAGAGGGCUGCAAUAUAAAGAGAACAAAUGAAGACUAAUGAAGCCUUUUCCUGACACACCUGUACAACAACAAAGAAGGGAUUGAUCCUAGACACAAAAUAUCCAAAAUGAAUUUGAAGGCACUAUUGGCAAACAUGGGAGAAAAAUAGGUCAUAAUUAGUCCCAGUGCUAUACAAGUUAUAGGGGUGUCAAACUCAAUUUCAUUGAGGGCCACUUUAGCAUUGUGGUUGU